rnacentral:rRNA from 1 species
CCUACGGGUGGCAGCAGUAGGGAAUAUUGCUCAAUGGGCGAAACCCUGAAGCAGCAACGCCGCGUGGAGGAUGAAGGUUUUCGGAUUGUAAACCCCUUUUGUUAGAGAAGAUAAUGACGGUAUCUAACGAAUAAGCACCGGCUAACUCCGGGCCAGCAGCCGCGGUAAUACGGAGGGUGCCAGCGUUACUCGGAAUCACUGGGCGUAAAGGGCGCGUAGGCGGGAUAGCAAGUCAGAUGUGAAAUGCUAUGGCUUAACCAUAGAACUGCAGUUGAAACUGUUAUUCUAGAGUAUGGGAGAGGUAGGUGGAAUUCGUGGUGUAGGGGUAAAAUCCGUAGAGAUCAAGAGGAAUACUGAUUGCGAAGGCGACAUGCUAGAACAUAACUGACGCUGAUGCGCGAAAGCGUGGGGAGCAAACAGGAUUAGAUACCCUAGUAGUC